rnacentral:lncRNA from 1 species
AGUCGGAAAAUGUCCAAUUGCACCAGUAAAACCAGAAUGUCCUCCCCCAGUUGUACUAUGUUCAGUUGAUGUCGAGUGUCGUGGAAGUCAAAAGUGUUGUGAUGAUGGGUGCAGUGGUUCAGAGUGCCGAGAAGCAGAGGGUAAAUAUUUGUGAAAUAUUUGAAUUAUACCUACUCAUAAUGAAAUUUCAGAACUUGUGUGUGCAUGUGCAUGAGUGUGUUAUCGACUGAGUGAGAGGAUACUGAUUCGAGUUGCUUGUGUGAUGUUACGGCUCUGAGUGUAUAUCCACACCGGGCAGGCUUGAAAAAUAUGCCUGGCCACGGUGGGAAUCGAACCUACGUCGUAGGUUCGAUUUCCACCGUGGCCAGGCAUAUUUUUCAAGCCUGACUGCAUGGUGUGGAUAUACACUCAGAGUAACAUCACACAAGCAUCUUAUUCACCUGAGUACAUUACACCAACACAGCAAAUUAUUCGAGUUGUUUUUCGCCUGUGUGCGAGAUCCAUAUAUAUAUAUAUAUAUACGAACGAAACAUUGAACGACACUAACAUCCUGUUGUCCGGACCGAACAACCUCAGUCAAUAAGUUCUAAAAACAAGAGCAUUCUUCGAAAACAAUGUUUAUAAAUUAAAAGUUGUUUACAACAGUUGUUUUGAACAUUUAAAAACGCACUUUCUGUAAACAAUUUUUGACAAAGAUAAAACGAUAACAACACAUUUUCAGAUAUUAAUAUACAACAAGACGAAAACAGAGUGCAAAAAAACCCGUUAAAUGGCGACAAGCCGACAUGCAAGUAUAUUAAUUUAAGUAUCACUAGGUCAACAUUUAAAGUGUUAUAAAAAGCGUCUUUUUCACGUGUAAACAACGUUUUAGGCCUAACACAAUAGUAAGUUAUUUUAUAUAAAAACUUACCAAGGGCAAGGUGACAUGCUUUAUUAUAUAGUCAGUCAAGUUACUAGGAAAAGAGUUAUUUAAGUUUUUCUUCGUUAAUAUGGCGGUCAGAUACUAUGAGAUCAAUGAGCGGUCCGUACUGCACGUUACCGACCGCUCAGGAAGCAAUCAAAAUUCUGCAUUUUGCAGAUGGAUUCUUGGACAUGAGCCUUACCAUAUGAAAAAUACGUUUAUUGACCAGUGCUACUUGUUAUAACUGUAAAAGACUCAUCUAAAUACCAUGCAGACCAUAUAUAAUUGGUUGUUGAAAAGUGUUGUUUUGUCGUCAUAUAAAUGUUGAAAGAAAUCCUCCAUAAAUGUUGAAAGAAAUCCUUCAACUUUCUGAAAUUUCUUAUAGCCAAAAUUUUUAAAUUACUGAACUCGUUCAGACAGUAUAUAUGUUAUACCUUAUAUAUAGAAAGGAAACGUUUUAUGAAAUAGUAUACAAAUAAUGAAUGUUUCAGUGCAAUGGUAAGAAUAUUUUCAUGAGGUGAAAUAUCGAAUGUUUCAUUCAACGAGGCGACAGCCGAGUUUUCAUAUGAGAAGCAUUUUGACGGAUGUGAUUUAUCGAAAACAUAAAGAGUGCAAUUGUACUAUACGUUUUAUUCCAUUGCACUCACAGAGAGUGCAAUGGAACGUAUUCCAUUGCACUCUUGGGAAAUGGAAUUUUCUAUUCAAUAUCACGUGACCAUAAACAGCCAAUUAAACGAUCAGAAUUCAAUAAGGUAUUAUAUAAUAAUAAAUGGGGUGUAACCAGGCGUUUUUUCAAGUAGAUUUCGUUGAUGAAAGCCGAUGUUUUGGCCAUAUUGGAUUGUCGUUGUUACUAUAGCAACAGUUUUCCAACCCUUAGUAGAUGGAAUAGGGAAGAUAUUAUUUCGCUGGCCUCAGAGUGACAAAACGCAACAAAGCAACGGUUCUGUACCAACACUAACGCUACUCCAAACACUAACCCUAAUCCUUACCCUAACCUAACCUAACCCUGCUCCAAAUUUGUUUCUAAACCAAUCUUGAAGAAAAAUGUUUUGACGAAAUGUCAUUCUGAGGUCAGCGAAAUAGUUGAUGCCAUGGAUAUACCGUUUGAGAUGCAGCUUGGAGCGGCUUCGGUCCGAAUUCGACUGCAUCACCAAGGGUGGUGGGUUUUUCUUGAUAGGAAUGACGGAGUUGACAGCACAGUCAGUGCUUCGCCGGUGUAUGUACCUUCUACCUUUGUGACUGGCAGAGGCGCAAUCACGAGGGAGAAUGGUGGGUCCGGACCUUCGUGUCUGAAAUGCAUGGAAUAAUGUUUCACAGACUCUAACCUAAAAAUAGAACGUUUUCCAGGGGUCCAUCCCCGAACGGACGAUUAGACCCUUCUUCCAGCCCUCGUGUGGGGCUGGCUUGGGCUGGCUACGUCCGGGUAACGUAACUGGGUGUGAUUCCUUUGACAUGCUGUUGUGUAUUAAGCCUUGUACAGACGGGACUUUUUUCUUUACAAUUAGUUUAUUUGCUUGUUUGCGCGGAAAAACUUGACAAUUUUUUCGUCAAAACGAUCUUCAGAACAGUUAAGAACUGAUGUAACUGUCCUGUACAAACCCUGUAAUUCUUUGAUUUUAAUUAUACUAAUGGUAACCUUUUUCUUCUAUUGCAGCACUGCCUCCUAAAGGUACAUUUUAUGAAUUUAAUCUCUUAUGGUAAAAUUUUAUUUUCACAUGAUUGGACCGGAGAAAUAUGCAUGUGAGCUGGUCGAAAGAUUGUAAAUAUAAUUGUACGAUAAAACUGUUCUAUCGUGUAAACAAAGUUAGUAACUCCUGCAUUAAACACUGGAUCGAUAAGAGAUGAUCCUUACUGCAUGGAAGAACAGUUUAGAACUGAUAGAGCUAUCAAAUAUAAAUAAAGGUAGUUUAAAUUUUUCCUGUAGCAACGCUGGAUCGAUAAGAGAUGAUCGCAUGCAGACAGCUGCAUGGGCCUUUUUUAUAUAUACCUGUAAAUAACAUAGUAAGAAUAGAAUAGAAUAGAAUAAGAGUAGAAUAGUAAGUUAUUUAAUAUAAAAAUUUACCAAGCUGACAGAUUUAUAGUCUUUUUACUAGGAAAAGAGUUAUUUAAGGUUUUUUGUCCAUCUUAUAGUGGUCCGUCCUGCACGUUACCGAUCACUCAGGAAGCAAUCAAAAUGCUGCAUUUCAGUGCAGAUGGACAUGACAAUUACGUUUACGGACCAAUACCAGACCAUAUAUAAUUGGUUGUUGAAAAGUGUUGUUUUGUCGCCAUAUAAAUGUUGAAAGAAAUCCUCCAUAUACAACAACCAGCCAACAUUCCAAAAUUUUUAAAUUACUGAACUCGUUUAGACUGCAUAUAUAUAUAUAUAUAUAUAUAUAUAUAUAUAUAUAUAUAUAUAUAUAUAUAUAUAUAUAUAUAUAUAUAUAUAUAUAUAUAUAUAUAUAGUAUAUAUGACAAAAAAGGUUUUUCAUGUUGAGUUCUUCUUUUCCAAACAGUCGGAAAAUGUCCAACUGCACCAGCAAAACCAGAAUGUCCUCCCCCAGUCGCACGAUGUUUAGCUGAUGACGACUGUCCUGGAAGUCAAAAGUGUUGUGAUGAUGGGUGCAGUGGUUCAGAGUGCCGAGAAGCAGAGGG